rnacentral:rRNA from 1 species
AUUGAACGCUGGCGGCAGGCCUAACACAUGCAAGUCGAGCGGAGCGGCGGACGGGUGAGUAAUGCCUAGGAAUCUGCCUGUUACUGGGGGAGAACGUCCGGAAACGGGCGCUAAUACCGCAUACUAUCAGAUGAGCCUAGGUGGGAUUAGCUAGUGGGGGGGGUAAAGGCCUACCAAGGCGACGAUCCGUAGCUGGUCUGAGAGGAUGAUCAGUCACACUGGAACUGAGACACGGUCCAGACUCCUACGGGAGGCAGCAGUGGGGAAUAUUGGACAAUGGGCGAAAGCCUGAUGCAGCCAUGCCGCGUGUGUGAAGAAGGUCUUCGGAUUGUAAAGUACUUUCAGCUGGGAGGCGUUACCCACAGAAUAAGCACCGGCUAACUUCGUGCCAGCAGCCGCGGUAAUAC